rnacentral:rRNA from 1 species
AGGAUGAACGCUGGCGGUCUGCUUAACACAUGCAAGUCGAACGGAGUACCUCGGUACUUAGUGGCGGACGGGUGAGUAACGCGUGAGAAUCUGCCCUUAGGUCGGGGACAACCAUUGGAAACGAUGGCUAAAUACCGGAUAAGCCGAGAGGUAAAAGAUUAAUUGCCUAGGGAAGAGCUCGCGUCUGAUUAGCUAGUUGGUGAGGUAAAGGCUCACCAAGGCAUCGAUCAGUAGCUGGUCUGAGAGGAUGAUCAGCCACACUGGGACUGAGACACGGCCCAGACUCCUACGGGAGGCAGCAGUGGGGAAUUUUCCGCAAUGGGCGAAAGCCUGACGGAGCAAGACCGCGUGAGGGAGGAAGGCUCUUGGGUUGUAAACCUCUUUUCUUGGGAAGAACAAAUGACGGUACCAAGGAAUCAGCAUCGGCUAACUCCGUGCCAGCAGCCGC